rnacentral:rRNA from 1 species
GCUUUACGAGUACACGAGUGGCGAACGGGUGAGUAACACGUGAGCAACCUACCCUUGACCCUGGGAUAACAGUUGGAAACAGCUGCUAAUACCGGAUACUACCUCGAUCGGCAUCGAUUGGGGUGGAAAGUUCCGGCGGUCAUGGAUGGGCUCGCGGCCUAUCAGCUUGUUGGUGAGGUAAUGGCUCACCAAGGCUUCGACGGGUAGCCGGCCUGAGAGGGCGACCGGCCACACUGGGACUGAGAUACGGCCCAGACUCCUACGGGAGGCAGCAGUGGGGAAUAUUGCGCAAUGGGCGAAAGCCUGACGCAGCAACGCCGCGUGCGGGAUGACGGCCUUCGGGUUGUAAACCGCUUUCAGCAGGGACGAAGCAACACGUGACGGUACCUGCAGAAGAAGCACCGGCCAACUACGUGCCAGCAGCCGCGGUGAUACGUAGGGUGCGAGCGUUGUCCGGAAUUAUUGGGCGUAAAGAGCUUGUAGGCGGUCCGUCGCGUCGAAAGUGAAAACUCAGGGCUCAACCCUGAGCCUGCUUUCGAUACGGGCAGACUAGAGGAAUGUAGGGGAGAACGGAAUUCUUGGUGGAGCGGUGGAAUGCGCAGAUAUCAGGAGGAACACCGGUGGCGAAGGCGGUUCUCUGGACAUUUCCUGACGCUGAGAAGCGAAAGCGUGGGUAGCAAACAGGCUUAGAUACCCUGGUAGUCCACGCCGUA